rnacentral:misc_RNA from 1 species
AUUAAAAAAAAAACAUUGAAUUGCAUAUGGAAAUAAAAUACAUGUAAUUUUUAACUUACAAAUUAAAAAAAAAUGUAAAAUUGGGCUUAACCUUAAUUAUGCGAUAAUUAAGUUGUCUGCGUUGCGUAUCGUUUUGGGGUUAGAGGAAUCAAAACCCUUGUAGUUUUCUUACAUGUUGAAUUGAAUUUGGUUAUAUUUAGGGCAAAAAUAAUUUUUUACAUUCCCAAAAUGCCUUCCAAAGUAGCCAUUAUUUGACUGUUAUUAGGGGUAUAAAUGAUUGCCUAUGUAUUUUUAAAAAAUUAAGCAAAAAGAGAAAAUAAUAAAAAAUUGAAAGAGAAAUAAUAAAAAAUUAAAGAAAAAAGAAAAAUAAUAAAAAAUUAAGCAAAAAGAAAAAAAUAAAGGAACAUUAAAACAUUAUUUGACCAUUGCACUUACAAACAUAGAGCAAUGGCUCUCUUAAAUAGGCAUGAGGAACAGGAGAGUGCCAUGUGGCAUGUGAUGGUUGCACCGCAAGAUGCACUCCGAAGCUGUCAUGAUACCUUUUUUUUGUUUUUUCAGAAAUUGAGUCGAACCUCCGGUUCCAGUUCAACGGCUGGUAGGGGGGGGAUUAUUUAUGACUGGUUCUGGGCUGUUUCGGUCCUAAGUUUUACCGAGCCGGUCCCAGUCCUGUACUCCUGUUCUGAUUCUGAACCAGCCCGUGGCCAAGUCUAUCGCUGCACACAAGACACAGUUCACACUCUUAUUCAUCUUUUUUUUUUUUUCCUGAUCAUACAACAUGUACUUUUCCUUCCUGUUUUUACCAGCAUCAUAAUUGUUCCUUUCCAAAUUCACUUAAGUGUAUAAAUCCUUGUAAACUUAAAUUCAUUUAUGCCCUUUACUUUUGCUAUUAUUUAGUCAUUGCCUAACAUCCCAAAAUUGGAUGCUCUUUUUUGGUUGCUAAAGGUUUCCAUAAAGCAGUCACUCCUUUAGCUGUUUUAUUGAGUUCUCCUCCCAUAUGAUUGGGCGGUUUUGAUAGCUCAUAUUAUUGAAAUUUCUAUUUCUUUGUGUUGGAUGUUCAAAGAAGAAUAUUCUUUAAAUGUGUUUCAUGGUCAAAUGAUGAAAAAAUAUAAUAUAAGGGAAAAGUGGGAUUUCAAACAAUUAUGUGAAUAAUGAACUCCAUUGAUAUGAUUGUGACUUACAUAAUAGGCUUUAGUUUAUAUGCUUGAGUAGACGUGGAUCUCUAGUGGUUUUUCUUUUGUUGGAAGAAUGAAAGGAUUAAAGAUCUAGAGAGGUGACUUUGGUCAGAACGAGGUUGUUUUUACUCCCAGAUUUGAAGAUUAUAUAAUUAGAACUGCGAAGAUGCAAAUAAUAAGUUUCUUUCGAAAUUGAGGAUUUAUAAAAAUAACUCUCCAUAAGAAUGGAGGUGGUUUUAUGAGCCACAAGAUAUCUGACAUUAAGAAGCAGAGGAAGACUUGCAAAACGGAUAGAUAUAAACAAUACAGUUUCUUUCCAUCUUCAUAUAUUUAUGAGAACUAAAAUAGGCCAAUUUGAAAUCAUACUCAUCCAGUAAAGCUGAACUGAAGCCAUUGAUUUUAUUGCCGUCAGUUAUAGCACAGUUUUCUUCUUCUAUUGAAUUUAUUAGACAGGGAUAAUCAAACAAUUUAUCAUAUGUAAAGCAGACAGAUUAUAUCUCUUAAAAUGUUCUUUCAAUCUAUGAGUCUUCUUGUAAAUCACUGUUUUUUCUGGUACAAAACCCUCAUGAAUUUUUUAUUUUAUUAUAUAUAUAUACAUGAAUUUCUCUUUUUUUUAAGAAGUUCUUGAAAGUACGUCUCCACUUCUGAUAUCUAGGGGUGGCCAAGGUUCAGGAACCGCCAGUUACGAUUCUUGAACCGCCGGUUUAGAUUCAAUAAAAUC